rfam:TPA: Bos taurus chromosome 6, whole genome shotgun sequence.
UCCCUUCUGGCUCAGAUGGUAAAGCAUCUGCCUGCAAUUUGAGAGACCCAGGUUCAAUCCCUGGGUUGGGAA